rnacentral:misc_RNA from 1 species
UUUUUUGCUUUUUUGAAAGGUUUCUUUGUUCUACCGAGAGUAAUGGCAUUAGGGGCAUGUUUCUUGUCCUCCAUUUUUCUGUCCACCGUACAAAUGUUAAAUCAGCUGUAACCAGCUUUGAGAGAACUACCUUUGCUAUGUAUUUUUGGAAUUAGAACUGGGGCAACACUAAUUUGGGUCGCUGGUGCUGAAUGAUAUAUUUCCCGAAGA